rnacentral:rRNA from 1 species
GGCUCAGAACGAACGCUGGCGGCGUGCUUAACACAUGCAAGUCGAACGAGAAAGCAGGGGCAACCCUGUGAGUACAGUGGCGUACGGGUGAGUAACACGUGGGUAAUCUACCCUUUAGUGGGGAAUAACGCUGGGAAACCGGCGCUAAUACCGCAUAAUCUCGCGAGAGGAAAGUCGCAAGACGCUGAAGGAGGAGCCCGCGGCCGAUUAGCCAGUUGGUGUUGUAAAAGCUCACCAAGUCUAAGAUCGGUAGCCGGCCUGAGAGGGCACACGGCCACACUGGUACUGAAACACGGGACGGACUCCUACGGGAUCACGCAGUGGG